UGAAGACUGAACCAUUGAGCCACAUCCUAACCCCAACACUCUGUACAUUUAGACACCACACUGUUGUGUGCCACGGUACACAGGAGUUGUCAUAGAGAACACCAAAAUUUAAAAUUCUGUAAAAUUUUUAUAUCUAAAGUUUUUAAUGUGUUUACAUGUGUUUUGCAUUUUCUUAAAAAUUAAAAUGAAUAGAAUUAUAAAGUAAUAUAUUUAUUACAGUCAGAUGGAAAACUGCUGAAUAGAACUAUGCCUUAUUUUUUCCUAUAAGUAAAAGUAUAAUGAGGUAAAUCAUAAUGAGGCAGAAAGCAUGAAUGCGAAAAUUGAACAUACGGUUUCCUACUCAGAUUUGAUGCUAACACUUAAGGACAGGACAAUUAAAAAAUCUUUUUGUAGGGGCUGGGGAUUUAGCUCAGUGGUAGAGCGCUUGCCUAGGAAGCGCAAGGCCCUGGGUUCGGUCCCCAGCUCCGAAAAAAAAAGAACCAAAAAAAAAAAAAAUCUUUUUGUUAGAUUGUGUUGGGGGCCUGCAUCUGUGUCCUUUUUAUCUAUUUCAAUUUGAUUUUGGCAUAUUAUUCACAUAAGCAUGUUUAAUUAGUUGAUUUGCAUUGAUGUAUUUUAGUAAAGGAUCAUUUCAAACAAAUAUAUACUUUGAACAAAUUCCUUCCACACUUCCUGUUGUCCCCCUGCCUCAGUCUCUUUUGUUCCUUCAACAGUAUUGUCUCUGCUUUCAUAUCACAUAUACAUACAUGAUUUAAGUAGCUAUAUAAAAUCUAGGAACUGUAGAUGAAAGAAAAUGUUAUCUUUCUGAGACUGAGUUAAUUUACUUAAUAUGUUCACCACUCGCAUCCAUUUUUCUACACAGGAUAUAUAACUUCUUUAUUAAUGAAAAAUGUGUAUUUAUGUAUUAUAUUUUCUAUAUCCAUUCCAUAUAUUUUUUUUUUUAAAGAAUCAUUUUCUAAGUACAAUGUGUGAUGGUUGGUAUAUGCUUGGUCCAAGGAAUAGCACUAUUAGGAAGUAUGGCCUUGUUGGAGUAGCUGUGUCACUGUGGACGUGGGCUUUAAGACCCUCAAUGUAGCUCCCUGGAAGCCAGCCUUCUGUUUGCCUUCAGAACAAGAUGUAGAACUCUCAGCUCUUCCUACAUCAUGGCUGCCUGGACACUGCCAUGCUCCUGCCUUAAUGAUAGUGGACUGAACCUCUGAACCUGUGUAAGCCAGCCCCAAUUAAAUGCUGUCCUUAUAAG
rnacentral:lncRNA from 1 species